rnacentral:rRNA from 1 species
UAUGCGAUACUUGGUGUGAAUUGCAGAAUUCAGUGAAUCAUCGAAUCUUUGAACGCACCUAUGCGCUUCUUGGUAUUCUGAGGAUGUCAUGCCUGUUUGAGGAUCUCAUGGUAUUCUCAACCCCUAAAUUUUUCUAGUGAAGAUUUGGUGGGCUUGGACUUGGAGGUUGUGUUGGCUCUCGCUAGUCGACUCCUUUGAAAUACAUUAGUGUGAACCUUACGGAUCGCCUUCAGUGUGAUAAUUAUCUGCGCUGUGGUGGUGAAGUAUUUAUUGUAUUCACGCUAUCUAGCCGUCUCUGGCUUCGAAUGGGCAGAUGCUUUGACAGUCAUGAGCUCAUAUCAGGUAUGAGAUUCCGACCGCUGAACUUAAGCAUAUCAAUAAGCGGAGGAA